rnacentral:rRNA from 1 species
CCUACGGGGCGCUGCAGUGGGGAAUAUUGGACAAUGGGCGAAAGCCUGAUCCAGCCAUGCCGCGUGUGUGGAGAAGGCCUUCGGGUUGUAAAGCACUUUCAGUGGGGAAGAAAGCCUUGGGGCUAAUACCCUCGAGGAAGGACAUCACCCACAGAAGAAGCACCGGCUAACUCCGUGCCAGCAGCCGCGGUAAUACGGAGGGUGCGAGCGUUAAUCGGAAUUACUGGGCGUAAAGCGCGCGUAGGCGGUCUGAUAAGCCGGUUGUGAAAGCCCCGGGCUCAACCUGGGAACGGCAUCCGGAACUGUCAGGCUAGAGUGCAGGAGAGGAAGGUAGAAUUCCCGGUGUAGCGGUGAAAUGCGUAGAGAUCGGGAGGAAUACCAGUGGCGAAGGCGGCCUUCUGGACUGACACUGACGCUGAGGUGCGAAAGCGUGGGUAGCAAACAGGAUUAGAUACCCUUGUAGUC